rnacentral:lncRNA from 1 species
UUCUACUUGUAUAAUACCCUCCUCGUAUAAGAUGAUCUUUUGUUGGUAAAAAUAGUUAUGGAAUGGGCGGUCUUUUGUUGGUAAAUAGUUGUGGAAUAGGCGGUCAAACAAAUAAUGAAACCUUUAAAGGAACUUGUUUAUGAAAAAUAUUAUCAAGUGAAACUCAACCAGCAGACUCCUCUUUUGCACUGUGAAGAACUGAUAGACUCCACUGACAGAAUAACCUUUAAUCAGAUCAAGUAACCAUUUCCAACAAUCAUAAACAUUUUCCUGCA